GUAGGUGGCAAGCGUUGUCCGGAUUUACUGGGCGUAAAGGAUGCGUAGGCGGAUAUUUAAGUGAGAUGUGAAAUUCCCGGGCUUAACUUGGGAGCUGCAUUUCAAACUGGAUAUCUAGAGUGCGGGAGAGGAGAAUGGAAUUCCUAGUGUAGCGGUGAAAUGCGUAGAGAUUAGGAAGAACACCAGUGGCGAAGGCGAUUCUCUGGACCGUAACUGACGCUGAGGCAUGAAAGCGUGGGGGUAGCAAACAGGAUUAGAUACCCUGGUAGUCCACGCCGUAAACGAUGAGUACUAGGUGUAGGAGGGUCCAACCCUUCUGUGCCGCAGUUAACACAAUAAGUACUCCGCCUGGAAGUACGAUCGCAAGAUUA
rnacentral:rRNA from 1 species